UGGAGCCUAAACUUCAAUUUAGUAUGACUAAAAAAAUGUAUGACAACCCUAAUAUAAAAAUAACAUAAAUAAAUAAACUAGAAAAAGGGUGGGGGCGAGAGUAUGAAAGAGAGAGAAAAAAGGAGAAAAGAAAAAAAGAAAAAAAGAGGAGAUAAGAAGAAAAAUGAAGAACUGAGAGGGAAUAAAAGGAAGUAUUUUGUUUUAAAAGAAAAAAAAAGGAUAGAAGAGAAAAUCACACACAUGGAGUUUGGGUGUGAGAGAGUAUAGAGGCGACAAAGGGCGUCGUUUACAGUGCGGCCACGAGCUCAGUAACAGUGCGAUGGCGGUGUACGUCAGAGUUGCUCCUAAAAAGUGAGGUAGUUGUGGUUGGUUUGAAGUUUUCUAGCGGUGUUGUCUCUGACGGAGGUUGUGGUGAUGGUUUAAUAAAGGAUUUGCAAAAGAUGAUGAAAAUAGUGGUGUGUGUGGUUGAAGCUCUCCCUAGCUAUAUGUGUUUUUAUUUUAUAUUAUGUUUCUUUAUUUUCUCUCAAAAUCUCUUCCUUCUACUCUUUUAUUUUCUAUUCUUUGUAUAUGUUUCUUUUUUUCUCGUUUGGUCUGAUUUUCUUAUUUAUACUCAAAAAUUAGGUUAAAGUUAUUCUUAGAUGAAGAAAAUGCCAAAUUGAAAAGCUUGACGUUGAAGUAAAAGAGUCGGUAAAUUGAUGUUUUUGUUAUUAACAUUGAAAUGUCCCUUAAAGAAUUGUUGUCCAAUUUUUUCUUUUGGUCCCUUUUAUUUGUUCUUGUGCAUAUUUUAUUAAGUUAAAAGCAUUCUAG
rnacentral:lncRNA from 1 species